rnacentral:misc_RNA from 1 species
GAUGAAGAACGCAGCGAAAUGCGAUAAGUAAUGUGAAUUGCAGAAUUCAGUGAAUCAUCGAAUCUUUGAACGCACAUUGCGCCCGCCAGUAUUCUGGCCGGCAUGCCUGUUCGAGCGUCAUUUCAACCAUCAAGCCCCAGGCUUGUGUUGGGGACCUGCGGCUGCCGCAGGCCCUGAAAACCAGUGGCGGGCUCGCUGUCACACCGGGCGUAGUAGAUUUUAUCUCGCUCAGGGCGUGCUGCGGGUUCCGGCCGUUAAAAAGCCUUUUUUACCCAAGGUUGACCUCGGAUCAGGUAGGAAGACCCGCUGAACUUAAGCAUAUCAAUAAGCGGAGGA